rnacentral:misc_RNA from 1 species
AAGUCGUAACAAGGUUUCCGUAGGUGAACCUGCGGAAGGAUCAUUAACACGUAUCCACGUUAAACCAACCGUGCACUUUCAAUUAUGCGUUGUUUUUGAGCUCGAGGUCAGUUCGCUUUCCAAGAGUUCGAAGACGAUUCGUUUCGGCUCGGCACGUGUCGUGAAGUUGGUGCUUGCACCGGCGAUGGAUGCCACCUCUGACGAGAGUGAAACUGGAAGGGUACGUAACUCGACAGUUUCGACGUGGGGCUGGAAAACUCGAUUUAUUUCAAAGGACGAUCCGUUCUGGGCCGGAUCGAAAUUUGUGGUAAUGAGAGGGUUCUGGAACUCUACGGGGUAACUGUCUGA